GACGAACGCUGGCGGCGUGCUUAACACAUGCAAGUCGAACGGAAAGGCCCUGCUUUUGUGGGGUGCUCGAGUGGCGAACGGGUGAGUAACACGUGAGUAACCUGCCCUUGACUUUGGGAUAACUUCAGGAAACUGGGGCUAAUACCGGAUAGGAGCUCCUGCUGCAUGGUGGGGGUUGGAAAGUUUCGGCGGUUGAGGAUGGACUCGCGGCUUAUCAGCUUGUUGGUGGGGUAGUGGCUUACCAAGGCUUUGACGGGUAGCCGGCCUGAGAGGGUGACCGGCCACAUUGGGACUGAGAUACGGCCCAGACUCCUACGGGAGGCAGCAGUGGGGAAUACUGCACAAUGGGCGGAAGCCUGAUGCAGCAACGCCGCGUGCGGGAUGACGGCCUUCGGGUUGUAAACCGCUUUCGCCUGUGACGAAGCGUGAGUGACGGUAAUGGGUAAAGAAGCACCGGCUAACUACGUG
rnacentral:rRNA from 1 species